UACGGAGGGGGCGAGCGUUGUCCGAAUUUAUUGGGCGUAAAGCGCGUGUAGGCGGAUGGACAAGCUGAGGUGAAAGGUUGGGGCUCAACCCCAUACAGUGCCUUGGGGACUGUUCGUCUGGAGGCCGGCAGAGGAGACUGGAAGUUCCUGGUGGUAGCAGUGGAAAUGCGUAGAUAUCAGGAGGAAUACCGAUGGCGAAGGCAGGUCUCUGGGCGUGACACUGACGCUCAUGCACGAAGCGUGGGGAGCAAACAGG
rnacentral:rRNA from 1 species